rnacentral:rRNA from 1 species
UACAGAGGCCUCAAGCGUUGUUCGGAUUCAUUGGGCGUAAAGGGUGCGUAGGUGGCAGGGUAAGUCGGAUGUGAAAUCCCGGGGCUCAACCUCGGAACUGCAUUCGAUACUGCUUUGCUUGAGUACUGGAGAGGAGAUUGGAAUUUACGGUGUAGCAGUGAAAUGCGUAGAUAUCGUAAGGAAGACCAGUGGCGAAGGCGGAUCUCUGGACAGUUACUGACACUGAGGCACGAAGGCCAGGGGAGCAAACGGG